CUUUACAAGCUCCAAAAUCGAGCUGCUAGGAUUAUAACGAAUUCAGAUUAUAGUAUAAGGUCCUCGCUAAUAUUUCAAAACCUUGGUUGGAAAUCUAUUGAAUUAAUCCUAAAAAAGCGAGACCUUUUCAUAACAUUUAAAGCGCUAAAAGGUAUGCUUCCAAACUAUAUAUCACAAUUAUUUCAUACUUAAGAAAAUGGCGACUACGAUCUGCGCAGCAAUAACUUCAAAUUGUCCCAAAGGAACCAAAAACAAAUUUUUUAAAGUAUAGUUUUCCUAUAGAGGAGCAACGUCUUGGAAUAACAUCCCAAUAGAUAGUCUUAAUAUUCUAAAUGAAACAACUAGUCUAAC